rnacentral:rRNA from 1 species
GGGAGCCGGCAACGGCACCUGAUUGCUGAAAACUUGUGCAAACUUGGUCGUCUAGAGGAAGUAAAAGUCAUAACAAGGUUUUCUGUAGGUGAACCUGCAGAAGGAUCAUUUAGUGAAUUAAUAGGGAUUGUCCACUCUGUGGAUUCCCGAACCCCUCACAAACAUCCACAAACACCUGUGCAUUGUCGGUCUAGAUGAUAGUUGGCUCUCUGAGCCUUCUUGUAUUCUGCCGGCGCCAAUUUACAAACUCUGAGUUUAAUGAAUGUGAAGUUAUACUUGCCAUUUUGGCAGAAUUAAACAUAACUUUCGACAACGGAUCUCUUGGUUCUCCCAUCGAUGAAGAACGCAGCGAAACGCGAUAGGUAAUGUGAAUUGCAGAAUUCAGUGAAUCAUCGAAUCUUUGAACGCACCUUGCGCUCCCUGGUAUUCCUAGGAGCAUGCCUGUUUGAGUGUCAUGAAUUCCUCAAAUCCCAAUGUUUUGCAAAAUUCAUUGUCUGGAUUUGGUUUUGGACUACUGUGCUGCUUUACCGCAGCUAGUCUCAAAGACAUUAGCAGGGCUUUUCGACUAGCGAAUAGCUUCCACUUGAUGUGAUAAGUAUUACGUCGGUGGGUUAAAGAGCUACAUAGCAAAAUAGAAGAGUCUGCUUCCAACCCGGCGAGAAGUUUACCCUUCGACCCAUUUUUCAUAACUCUGGCCUCAAAUCAGGUAGGAUUACCCGCUGAACUUAAGCAUAUCAAUAAGCGGAGGAAAAGAAACUAACAAGGAUUCCCCUAGUAACGGCGAGUGAAGCGGGAAGAGCUCAAAUUUGAAAGCUGGCGCCUUCGGCGUCCGCGUUGUAAUCUCGAGAAGUGUUUUCCGCGUUGGACCAUGUACAAGUUCCUUGGAAUAGGACGUCAUAGAGGGUGAAAAUCCCGUACUUGACAUGGACGCCCAAUGCUUUGUGAUACACUCUCCACGAGUCGAGUUGUUUGGGAAUGCAGCUCAAAAUGGGUGGUAAAUUCCAUCUAAAGCUAAAUAUUGGGGAGAGACCGAUAGCGAACAAGUACCGUGAGGGAAAGAUGAAAAGCACUUUGGAAAGAGAGUUAAAUAGUACGUGAAAUUGUCGAAAGGGAAGCGCUUGAAGUUAGACAUGCUUAUUGGGAUUCAGCCUUGCUUUUGCAUGGUGCAUUUCCCGGUUAGCAGGCCAGCAUCAGUUUUGGCUGUCGGAUAAGGGUAAGAGGAAUGUGGCCCCUAGGGGUGUUAUAGCCUCUUACUGGAUACGACGGCUGGGACUGAGGACCGCAGUGUGCCUUUAUGGCGGGCCUUCGGGCACCUCACACUUAGGAUGCUGCGAAGAAAAUUGGAAGUUA